rnacentral:rRNA from 1 species
GACGUAGGAGGCGAGCGUUGUCCGGAUUCAUUGGGCGUAAAGAGCGCGCAGGCGGCUUGGUAAGUCGGAUGUGAAAUCCCGAGGCUCAACCUCGGGUCUGCAUCCGAUACUGCCCGGCUAGAGGUAGGUAGGGGAGAUCGGAAUUCCUGGUGUAGCGGUGAAAUGCGCAGAUAUCAGGAGGAACACCGGUGGCGAAGGCGGAUCUCUGGGCCUUACCUGACGCUCAGGCGCGAAGGCUAGGGGAGCGAACGGG